UGGGGAAUAUUGGACAAUGGGGGCAACCCUGAUCCAGCAAUGCCGCGUGUGUGAAGAAGGUCUUCGGAUUGUAAAGCACUUUCGACGGGGACGAUGAUGACGGUACCCGUAGAAGAAGCCCCGGCUAACUUCGUGCCAGCAGCCGCGGUAAUACGAAGGGGGCUAGCGUUGCUCGGAAUGACUGGGCGUAAAGGGCGUGUAGGCGGUUUGUACAGUCAGAUGUGAAAUCCCCGGGCUUAACCUGGGAGCUGCAUUUGAUACGUGCAGACUAGAGUGUGAGAGAGGGUUGUGGAAUUCCCAGUGUAGAGGUGAAAUUCGUAGAUAUUGGGAAGAACACCGGUGGCGAAGGCGGCAACCUGGCUCAUUACUAC
rnacentral:rRNA from 1 species